GUCAGGACCCUGGAGGGAAUGCAGUGACCUCAGUGAGGCAUCAGCAAGAAGGUGAUUCCUGGGACAGCCUCGGGAGCCUGGAGCACACAGGGACCCUCCCUUGGUGAGCUCCAUUCUGGAACCGCAGCACUGUCCCCUGACACCCCCAGUGGGAACAAGCUUCCGUGUCACGCAGAACAUGACGGAGAUGCGCAGGAAUGGCAAAGUACGAGGGGAAAACAGACAGUGGGAUAUGGUGAAACCGUGACGGUUGGUGAAUGAGACUUUGAUCCAAUGACAUUAAAGCAGAUGAGCCACCCAAAACUAAUAUACAGUGUCUACUGCAGAAGACGUGUGCUCUUCACCAGUCUGUGGACCAGGAAACGAGCCGCUGGGGAUCUCAGUCGCAAGGGUGCUCAGGUGGCCUUGGUGCAGACACUCACAGCUCUCAGACUGCAGAGUGUGCCGGUCCUCGGAGAAGGGGUGUCCUUCAGGGCAGUGCUUCUCUGGCUGAUGCCACAGACUGGCUAGUGGAUGGCCAGACUCAUCACACUGACACCCCUGUUCACCUAAACCAGAUACAACCCCUUCCUGAUGCAUCUGUUGGUGCCAAAUCUUUUUUUUUUUUUUGUAGCUUUUUAUUAUUAAAACAGUCACUGCAAUUAUCAGGAGUCGUCUAAUGUACAGUGACUGCUAUUCCUAUUGCUGGUGAGUGAGAAUAUUAAUACCAUCUGUAGUAGUGAGACAGCAAAUAUUUCCCGCCUCACAGGUGCCCUGGUAUUUUAGUGCAGAAAAUAUUCUUACAGUUCCCUGGAAAGCACGCUUUAUAAACUCUUACACAUUUUCAAAAUAAAGAUUUUUUAAAAUAAACCUUUUUGUCUCUGACGGAUUUUAAGUCUCAUAACAUGAGACGUCAGCCUUGCUGCGAUACGCAGCACCACACCAGAAGCCUCCAGCAAGCGCUGUGUUCUGCUGUGGUUCUGAGCAGCCUCGUAGUGCCAUGCAGUGCUCUUCAGACAUACGCUGGGGCUCAGGGCUGUGGGCCUCAGAGCACAGGGAGGGGGCAGGUCCCCAUGGGGAGGAGCAGCUGCCCCUGCACCUGCAUCUAACUGACAUGGAUGUUGGCUCCCCACACUGUGAGCACCUGGGUGUUUCUGGCUCCUUUACUGCUGAAAUUUAGGACAGACCCAAUCGACUUAGAGAGCUGUCUCAGGACUCCUUGACAAACCAAAUGGAGGAAGGAGGGGAACAGCUGGCAGGUGCUCCAGGAGUGGGGGCACAGGCAGCGUCAGAACGCAGCCCCCUCCCAGGAGGAAGUUGGGUAGAAGUGAAGAUUGUAAAAUAAAAGAGAAAAUCCAGGUGCAUCCUUUUCUGAAGUAGCUUUGUAGGUGAAAAGUUAUUCAAAAGGAUGUGGACGCACAAAGGAGAAGGGGCUGCGAAAGGUUUGGUGAGUGGAAUGAGGUGAGAAUCUAAGUAAUUUCACUGAAGUAUUAUCUUAACGUCUUCAUUUCCGAUCAGCAGCUUUUGUUGCAAAUAUGUCAGGUUCAAUCGUAGAUUACGGGAAAAAGGCAGGAUGGACAACUCAAGAGAUCUGGUGUGGGACCCAGGCCUGGGGCUAAAAAUGUAUUGAUCGGGGUUUUGGUUAAGGAGGUAGAUUUUAGCUGUUUCUCCACACUCACAGACGUAACCAUGUGAGGCAAGGGCUGCGUUCACCCACUUCACCAUAGUCACCAUUUCCCUCUUUGCAUUCCUUAACAUCACGCUGGAGACCUCAAAUCUAUUCAAUAAAACUUAGUGCAAGAAAGAGGCCUGCAGUGAAAGCAGCGUUUGGACGGCUCUUUGAUGUUGGUGUUGAGGGUUGGCCGUGGUGAAGAAGGCUUCUGAUGGGCAAAGUGUCUUUAGGAGAAACGUGUUAUCCCCACUGUGUAAUCUGGAACCAUGCUGCGCAGACAGGGGCAACCCUGGCCUAUUCUUCUGCGGUGGGCUAAGCGGGGCUGGGCGGCCUGGAACCGAACUGCCUGAUCAGGCCACGUUUGUCAUCAGAGGCAGAAAUCAGGAGCCCUGCGGCAGGGCGUGGGCUGUCUGCCACACGAGGGUGAGGUCCAGAGACUCGGGAAUUCUCGGUGCAGAGGCCCCAAAGGGAGAGAGUCUAGCUGGUCAGCAGCAGAACCUCUGGGCCAGCGGGUCUGAAACUUCCCUGCACAUCAGAAGCUGCUGAAACACAGAGUGCAGGACCCUGCCCCCAGAGCUUCGGAUUCGGCAGGUCGGGGUGGGGCCCACGAUUCUGCAUUUCUAGCAAAUUCCCAGGGGUUGCUGAGGUCAUCAGUCCGGGGACUGCACGUGGAGAACCACCCCUCUAGGCCACGUAUCCCUGCACCAUAGAAAGGAGGGCCCAGGACACCCUGGAGGACAGACACCUCCUGGUAAACUCAACAGGAAAAUCCACCUCCCGGGACGCAUCCCCUUCUCCUCGCUGCCCUCCCUGCUGGGAAGACCCUGUCCUCAGGCGGUCCAUGCGCCCUGGUUAGACGCCUUCACCCAAAGAGAGGCCAGGCACUCCGGCGCAGUUUAGGAGAAAGGAAAUUGAGCCUGUGCUGCCCUGGGCUUCAGAGGAGGACAGUUUUCUUUUUUAAAACAGGAAGUAAGGACAGGUUGGAGCCCAGGAACGUGGGCGUGGGGACACGGGUGGUGCAGAGCUGCCACUGGCCUAGCCUCCUGGCGAAGGGGCAAGCUGGUUCGUGGGGACCACCCGAAGGCCUGGAGGGAUUUGGGCUGAAGCCCAGGCCGCUCAGCGGGAGUGUGUGCUGUGGAGUCCCUGGUGCAGAGGCUGAUGCUGUCGGCGGCUGUCCCUGUGGGUGAUGCGGUGGCGCUGGCAGAUAGCCAUCCCCUCCCAAUCCCACGGUAGACGCUGGCCUCAGCUCUUAUAAAACCCGCGCGUUCCCUGCGCAGCGUGGGACUGUGGAUAUUGGAGGGAGGGCAUUAGUAUUCCCUUGUUGUGAUUUGGAAACUAAAUGGGCUUCAUGGACUUCUCCUUAGGGUUUCUGUCACUCUAUAAGCCUUGCUAGAUGAAGAUACAGUGUUUUUCUGUCCAUAAAUUUGUUAAAGAAAAUCUCUUGGAAUUUUGCUAAGGCAAUUGGAGAGUGACUUAAACAGGACCGUCCUGAGUUCGUGGACGAGUCCACGGGUCCUGCCAGCACACCUCAGCAUCGCCGGUGUUUCAGCAAAGAAUCCAAAGAAGAACAGGACCAUCGCGAGCCACUUUCCGCCUCUUCAUCCCCGUCCACUGAGGAAAUCCACCGAAGCCCUUUGUGUGGGGUUCGGAGGAGAGCGGGUUGCAGGGACUUGCCUUCUGGGUGUGACCUUGGUGCAGGUGCAUAAGGGUUAGCGACUCC
rnacentral:lncRNA from 1 species